CCAUCCCACCUCUCUUGUUUUCCUCCUCUCUCAGAUCGGCUGCCUUCGCUCGCCGUGGUUCCAGAUCGGGCGGAUUGGAGGAGCAGGGGAGGGCGAGGCCUGGAGCUCCAUCGGCAGCGCGCGCUAGACUGGUGCUAGGCUGCAUCUUCUCCUACCUCCGUUCUGGUGCCUCCUCCUACCCGCGUAAACAGCGAGCGGAGGGCGUAAUCACUUAAGUGCCAGAGUUUGGAGGUGGAUGUUACUUCAGGAAGGAAGUUGGUUACAAUUUUCAUUUGUUUGAUGCAGCAGGGACAAACUAAUUUGCAGAAUUUCUUGGUGUUGCGAUCUCUCCCCAUCUUAGCAUUGUCUUUCGUUGGAAGGGGAGGAAAUUUGUGUAUAUCACACCUAUCAGUUGCAUCCCACAAAGAGGAAUUUUGUGUCAGACAUUGCCAUUGGAGAAGCUUUGACAGGUAUGGCCCUUCUUUCAGUAAUAAGGUUUACACAUGUACUGAUGCAAAAGAUUUGAUUCAGAGGAAAUGGAUUGUAAUUUGCACGUGAGGUGGGGCUUUUGAUUGGGCCUUGUGGUGGUUGGAUCCGCUAACAGAUAGGGAGAAGCAUGAUAGGUUGCUACUGCUGCACCUAUUAUUUAAUUUCUCGCAAUGUUUUCGCAAUCAGUUUAUCUAAAGCAUGAUUUUAAUAUGCAAUUUUAUCAGUCGGAGAUUAUUUGAAUGAUUCGAAAUUAGAAUGUGGGGAUCUCAAAGGAAUGUUUCACAAAAAAACCAAUAU